UCGAUGAUAGAACUUCCAAAUCGACAAUCCAUACCGUUAAACGUUAUCUAGAGUAUUUAAAACAUCUAGAAAUUAAAUUUUAUAAUUUUUCGACAUCAUUUACCUUACGAUCAAAAGGUCACAAAAUUGACAAUUUUUAACGGCCAGUAUAGAAUAUUUGCUAGUUUAACGAUGUAAAAGAAUCGAAAUCAAUUGAAUUUUUGAUAGAAAAUUCUAUUCACUAUAUAGAUAAAGAUCAAUAACUCCGAUCUUAAAUUGAAGGAUCCGAUCAUCCAUUUUUAAGACGUCGUUCGAUUUUGACCGUUCAUUUUAUACCUACUUGAUUAACUUUAUUAUAAUUUCGAAAAAUUACAAAAUUUAUUUUCUAGAAAUUUCAAAUACUCUAAAUCAUAUUUAACAGAGUGGAUCAUCGACUCGGAAGCUCCACCAUUGAAAACAACUUAUGAGUACGAAAUGCUCUAUACUCAUAAGAGUAUAGUAGCCCUAGCCUCUCUUUCUCUCUAUAUAUAUAUAGUGUAGAACUACUAUACUAUCAAAAAUAUAAAGGAUUUGAUGCUUCUGAAUUUUUGACCUUUUAAUUAAGGAUUGUACGAUUGGGAUGAUUGCGGUCCUCCCUAGGAUUAAAUAAUACUCCUAGGGUUGAGUGAUUCCUACAAGGUAAUAGGAUUAAAUAAUACCCCUAGGGUUGAGUGGUCCGUACAAGGUAAUAAUAGUAUUAAUCCAAAGUUAAGAACUGAUUAAAGGGAUUGAUCUAAGAAUCAAAAAAUCGAAAGCUCCAGAUUCUCUAUACUUUCGAUAGCAUAAUAGCUCUACUAUAUAUAUAUAUUCGAGUUUUUUGAGCCUAAUUUGAACGAGUCGAGUAAUACUCAAACUUGACUUGAAAUGAAUU
rnacentral:lncRNA from 1 species